GGAAAGGGCUCGCAGAGAUGAUAUAAGUGGAUUUAAACUUUUCAGGGCCGUAGACACUCUUCAGGAAUUGAUAAAAUGUUGACACACCUCGUAAAAUAUGAACACAUCAAAAUUAUGCCCGCAGUUUGAGACUGUGAAGAUAUUCAUGGAAAACUAUACAUAUUUUCAUCCUACAAAUUACGAAGACAGUGAUGUCCAGGACAUAAUUGCAAGAUGAAGCCCCAGCCUUUUAGCAAUAUUCAAGGAAUCUUGGAAGUUUCAUGCUACUUUUAAUGGAAAGGAAAAUGACAGAACCAAAGUCAAAGGAGAAAAGAAAAAAAGAGAAAACAAGUCCUAGCAAGAUCUUACCAAAUCCUUUAGUCAUGGUCUGUUUUGUUGCACUCAUAUGGGCGUUACUGCAAAGGUGAGAAACUAAUGACUGUCGCAGGAAAAUGAAUUGGAUGUGUCAUGAAUUACAGCCCUGUUUAUACUUCUGCUUUAACCAUAUCAUUUGUUUAAACAGAAAGUUCUGCAUUUGAAUUGUCACAAUUGUGUAUGUUUUAUAAACAUCUUGUGUUUCACCCAGGCUCAGCCAACACUUGCUUUUGUUGACAUUUAUAAUCUAGAAAUAAAAUCUUAUACUAACACAAAAUUAUCCUUCAUAAGAGAAUAUAAACAGAAUAAUGGUUCAUAAACAUACUAAUUAAUAUUUCUACCAUCAUUUAUUAACUAACAUUUUUGUUUCACCUUAAAAUAAGUAAAACUUUAUGACAUGCUAAUAA